GGGCCCGCACAAGCGGUGGAGUAUGUGGUUUAAAUUCGAUGCAACGCGAAGAACCUUACCAGGGUUUGACAUCCUGCGAAUCUCUUGGAAACAGGAGAGUGCCUUCGGGAACGCAGUGACAGGCGGUGCAUGGCUGUCGUCAGCUCGUGUCGUGAGAUGUUGGGUUAAGUCCCGCAACGAGCGCAACCCACGUCUUUAGUUGCCAGCAUUUAGUUGAGGACUCUAAUGAAACUGCCGGUGAUAAACCGGAGGAAGGUGUGGAUGACGUCAAGUCAUCAUGCCCCUUACAUCCUGGGCUACACACGUACUACAAUGCUACGGACAAAGGGCAGCAAGUUCGCGAGGACAAGCAAAUCCCAUAAACCGUGGCUCAGUUCAGAUCGUAGGCUGCAACUCGCCUACGUGAAGGCGGAAUCGCUAGUAAUCGCAGGUC
rnacentral:rRNA from 1 species